AAGUCGAGCGCCGUAGCAAUACGGAGCGGCAGACGGGAGAGUAACACGUGGGAACGUGCCCUUCAGUUCGGAACAACCCAGGGAAACUUGGGCUAAUACCGGAUACGUCCGUAAGGAGAAAGAUUUAUCGCUGAAGGAUCGGCCCGCGUCUGAUUAGCUAGUUGGUGUGGUAACGGCGCACCAAGGCGACGAUCAGUAGCUGGUCUGAGAGGAUGAUCAGCCUCACUGGGACUGAGACACGGCCCAGACUCCUACGGGAGGCAGCAGUGGGGAAUAUUGGACAAUGGGCGCAAGCCUGAUCCAGCCAUGCCGCGUGGGUGAUGAAGGCCUUAGGGUUGUAAAGCCCUUUCGGCGGGGAAGAUAAUGACGGUACCCGCAGAAGAAGCCCCGGCUAACUUCGUGCCAGCAGCCGCGGUAAUACGAAGGGGGCUAGCGUUGCUCGGAAUCACUGGGCGUAAAGCGCACGUAGGCGGUCUUUUAAGUCAGGGGUGAAAUCCUGGAGCUCAACUCCAGAACUGCCCUUGAUACUGAGAGGCUUGAGUCCGGGAGAGGUGAGUGGAACUGCGAGUGUAGAGGUGAAAUUCGUAGAUAUUCGCAAGAACACCAGUGGCGAAGGCGGCUCACUGGCCC
rnacentral:rRNA from 1 species